CCUACGGGAGGCAGCAGUGAGGAAUAUUGGUCAAUGGGCGGGAGCCUGAACCAGCCAUGCCGCGUGAAGGAAGAAGGCGCUCGGCGUCGUAAACUUCUUUUGUCGGGGGACAAAGGGCGCCACGAGUGCCGUUGUGAGUGUACCUGACGCACAAGCAUCGGCUAACUCCGUGCCAGCAGCCGCGGUAAUACGGAGGGUGCGAGCGUUAUCCGGAUUUGUUGGGUUAAAGGGGUGCGUAGGGGUUCCGGAAAGUCAGCGGUAAAAGCCCGGGGCUAACCCCCGGCGAGCCGUUGAGACUGGCGGGCUAGAGACGGCGAGAGGUACGCGGAAUGCGCGGUGUAGCGGUGAAAUGCAUAGAGAUCGCGCAGAACACCGAUUGCGAAGGCAGCGUACCGGCGCCAGACUGACGCUGAGGCACGAAAGCGUGGGUAGCGAACAGGAUUAGAUACCCCUGUAGUC
rnacentral:rRNA from 1 species